AUUGAACGCUGGCGGCAGGCCUAACACAUGCAAGUCGAGCGGAUGAAGGGAGCUUGCUCCUGGAUUCAGCGGCGGACGGGUGAGUAAUGCCUAUGAAUCUGCCUGGUAGUGGUGGAUAACGUCCGUAAACGGGCGCUAAUACCGCAUACGUCCUGAGGGUGAAAGUUGGGGAUCUUCGGACCUCACGCUAUCAUAUGAGCCUAGGUCGGAUUAGCUAGUUGGUGGGGUAAAGGCCUACCAAGGCGACGAUCCGUAACUGGUCUGAGAGGAUGAUCAGUAACACGGGAACUGAGAAACGGUCAAGAGUACUACGGGAGGCAGCAGUGGGGAAUAUUGGACAAUGGGCGAAAGAAUGAUACAGCAAAGCCGCGUGUGUGAAGAAGGUCUUCGGAUUGUAAAGCACUUUAAGUUGGGAGGAAGGGAAGUAAGUUAAUACCUUGCUGUAUUGACGUUAACAAAAGAAUAAGCACCGGCUAACUACGUG
rnacentral:rRNA from 1 species